GGUGGAGGAGUUACAACCCUGUAACUCAAUAGAUCCAGGAGGUGGAAGGUGACGCAUUAGAAACUUAUAAAUAGAGGUGUUUGUCAUUUUAUUAUUCAGUUUCGAAGUUUGUAGAUUUGUUUGUACUAAGAACUUGUAAUUUAAAAAAUAAAAUUGUUUUUUAAAAAAGCGUUUUCUCGUUCGAAAACCGUUAUGAAUAAUUGCUAAAGACGAACAAAAUAAAUAAAACCAACAAAUCAUGAGCGCCAUGAAAAUGAUCUUCGAUCAUUCUCCCAGGUAUCUUACACUGCUGUCAAAUAUUAAAUAUAUUAAAUCUGUAAUAAUGAACAUAAAUAGGAAUAAUAAAAAUAAAUGAUAUACAAAAUAAAUAAACAUUUAUUAAAAUUAACUACCAGAUUCUUAACAAUCUCUGAGUUAUACAAACUUAAUAUUAUGUGACUCUAAAAUGACAUAGGUUAUACAAAAGUUAAGUUAAACAUGAUAUAUAACAACAGUCCUGUUAUAUGGAUGUACAAAAGAUAUACCUCUUACUUACAUAUAGGGUACAACUCACAUGAGUCCUCUACCAAAUGGUUAUAGUACGCCUGCUACGUACAACUGAAUUGAAACCGACGAAGAUGAAACUAUUAUAAAUAAAUAGGCACAAGCCUCACUAAGAGAAAAUAUAAUAAUUAAUAAGCAAAGUUAAAUAUACAAAUGACUAAAAGUUAUAAUAAUGAAGUUAAGAUAAAUACCGAACCGAUGACCUAAAUUAACCGAACAAAUGUAAUGAAAUAAAGUAACGACGAAUUAACCGAACAAAUGAAAUAAAGCGAAUAACAAUAAAAUAUUUGGGAAACAAGCAAGUAAUAUUACAAAAAUAAAUAUCAAACCAAUAAUAAAAUAUAAAAACCUAAUUUUCUAGGCUUAUUACCUUGUGUUUCUAGGCUUAUUACCUUGUGCACAAUGUAACGUACCAUAUGAUCGUAAAUAAGUUUGGGAACCUAAUACAAUACAAAUAUGUCAUAAAAAAAAACCAGAGGUAAACUAAAUCUGGAAAAAAAACAUAGUGCAUUAAGCCAAAUGUCUGAAACGUAAAAACCAAUAGUUACUUAAAGCACAACACUUGUUCCCAAACAAACUCAAACGACUCCUAAAGAGGUUGCGGCUGCAUCCUCAGAAAUGAGCAUCAGGAUGACGCGCCUCCAUGCCCUCUGUAGGCCCAGGUGGCAGGACGAAAAGGAGCUGGAAUGCUCCCAAAAAGCUUGUUCCCAAAACCCCAAUAGUGACUUGGCUGUGGUCGUGGCUGGAAUCGACGCCUUCCAGGUGGUUGAAGGAUUUACAUGGUAGGUUCUAAUAUUUCUCCC
rnacentral:lncRNA from 1 species